CUACGGGCUGCUGCAGUCGAGAAUCUUCCGCAAUGGGCGAAAGCCUGACGGAGCAAUGCCGCGUGCAGGAUGAAGGCCUUCGGGUCGUAAACUGCUGUCACCGGGGAUGAAUAAUGACAGUACCCGGGGAGGAAGUCACGGCUAACUACGUGCCAGCAGCCGCGGUAAUACGUAGGUGACAAGCGUUGUUCGGAUUUAUUGGGCGUAAAGGGUUCGUAGGAUGUUGAUUAAGAUUGGUGUGAAAUCCCAAGGCUCAACCUUGGAACUGCAUUGAUUACUGAUGAACUAGAGUGUCGUAGAGGAAAGCGGAAUUCCAGGUGUAGCGGUGGAAUGCGUAGAUAUCUGGAAGAACACCGACAGCGAAGGCAGCUUUCUGGGCGAUAACUGACUCUGAGGAACGAAAGCAUGGGGAGCAAACAGGAUUAGAUACCCCUGUAGUC
rnacentral:rRNA from 1 species